GCCCAGAUGGUGAAAUUGGCAGACACGCUAGAUUCAGGUUCUAGUGCCUUUACCGGCAUGGGGGUUCAAGUCCCCCUCUGGGCA
rnacentral:tRNA from 1 species